GCCGGGUGUGGUGGCUCACUCCUGUAAUCCUAGCACUUCAGGAGGCUGAGGUGAGAGGAUCACUUGAGCCCAGGAGUUUGAGACCAGCCUGGGCAACAUAGUGAGACCCCAUCUCUA
ensembl:misc_RNA Metazoa_SRP Metazoan signal recognition particle RNA